rnacentral:rRNA from 1 species
AUUGAACGCUGGCGGCAGGCCUAACACAUGCAAGUCGAGCGAGCGGCGGACGGGUGAGUAAUGUAUGGGGACUGCCCGAUAGAGGGGGAUAACUCCUGGAAACGGUGGCUAAUACCGCAUACUAUCGGAUAACCCAUAUGGGAUUAGUUAGUAGGUGGGGUAAAGGGGCACAUAGGCGACGACCUCGAGCUGGUCUGAGAGGAUGAUCAGCCACACUGGGACGGAGACACGGCCCAGACUCCUACGGAGGCAGCAGUGGGGAAUAUUGCACAAUGGGCGAAAGCCUGAUGCAGCCAUGCCGCGUGUAUGAAGAAGGCCUUAGGGUGGUAAAGUACUUUCAGCGGGGAGGCGUUACCCGCAGAAGAAGCACCGGCUAACUCCGUGCCAGCCGCCGCGGUAAUUC